rnacentral:lncRNA from 1 species
UCUCUUGGUUGUCUCCCUAUGAUUCCUAUAUACGAUGAGGUAGUAUUAGUGCCUUAAAUUCUUUAGUUAAACGGGCUUACAAAUUGUGUUCACAUUUUUCGGACUUACAACAAGAAUUAACUCUUAUUGUCAAUACUUUUAGUAAACAUGGAUUUCCUACCAAAAAGAUUUUGAAAAUUAUCCAUAAAGUAAAAGAUAAAUUCUAUGUUAACCCCGUAAAUCAUACUCCAGCAAUGCUUAAUAAUAGAAUUGUUAACGUAAGUCUUCCUCAACAUGCUAUGCUCAAGAAUCUUAAAGGCUCUAUUGAAAAAGAAUUUAAUGUUACAAUACCAGCUAGUAGAAACAAAAAUGUAUUCGCCGCAAUAUGCAAUGAUAAAGAAAGGAGACCAACUCCAUUAAAAGGGGGCAUUUAUAAAAUUCCUUUCAUAAACAACGAUACGAAUACUACCUCAUCGUAUAUAGGAAUCACAGG